rnacentral:rRNA from 1 species
GUUGAACGCUGGCGGCGGGCCUAACACAUGCAAGUCGAACGAGUGGCGGACGGGUGAGUAAUGUCUGGGAAACUGCCCGAUGGAGGGGUAUAACUACUGGAAACGGUAGCUACUACCGCAUACCAUCGGUUCUGCCCAGAUGGGAUUAGCUAGUGGGUGGGGUAACGGCUCACCUAGGCGACGCUGCCUAGCUGGUCUGAGAGGAUGACCGGCCACACUGGAACUGAGACACGGUCCAGACUCCUACGGGAGGCAGCAGUGGGGAAUAUUGCACAAUGGGCGCAAGCCUGAUGCAGCCAUGCCGCGUGUAUGAAGAAGGCCUUCGGGUUGUAAAGUACUUUCAGCGAGGAGGCGGUACUCGCAGAAGAAGCACCGGCUAACUCCGUGCCAGCAGCCGCGGUAAUUC